UUCGUAAUUUCUAGUCCUUUGUUAGUUGCCGCAUGGUUAUACCUAGUCAGCCCGAGCUGCUAGUUUCCUAAUUUACUGGCGUUCAAUUGAUAUGAAUAUUGUGCUUGUUCAUUGGUUUUGUCGGUGUUUGGAUUGUAGAUAUCGGAAGUGGUGUGUGGAAAUGAGACUUUUUUUUUUGUUUGCCUUAUGCUUUUUCCCCUCUUGGCUCAUAGUGGCAAUGGAGAUGAGAGUUUUGCAGGCUCAGGCUGUUCCUGUUGGAAAAGCCCCACGAAUUUUGCCUCUGGUAUUAUCACAUCAGGAAAGAAAAAUUCUUUGUUUAUACUAUGUCUUUUAAACCAUCUGAUAAGUUACUGAAUCUAUUGCAGUGUAAGUGCGAUACAUACUAGAUCAUAUAAUGAUGAAAAUA